CGUCAAUCAUCAUAUGCAAUAAUCUCCAAAGGACCUAACUAUCACAACCAAAAAUAAAAAAGCUUACCAGUAAGUAAAUGAUCCGCACAUUGCCCGUUGCAAAUUCCUUGAAUAGAGACAUCCCUUGCAGCAACGAUGACCGGUAACUUGAGGUUGCAGUUUGGCUUUGCCUGGGACGGUCAAUGAUUUAAUGAAGUUUCUCAUGGUGUUCUUUAUUUCCUUGCCACAAUUUCCGUACCACAUGAUGGCUAAUUUAACGGUCCCGUUGAGCAUAGGACCACCGUGGUGGAUCAUCCGUGCCUUGUCGUUAUAAGGAUCGUAAGUGUGACCAUGGCCGGAGGAGCAAGUGAAUAAAGCAGUGACGGAAAGGGAAAGAGCCAGGAGGCGGAUUGAAAGAGACGCCAUGGCAGUGGCUUCCCAAUCAGGUGGUUGAUGUUCUAACUCAAAUUAGACAUGAUUGAAUCCAUGAGAUUGUGAUAUGUAUUUAUAGCACUGAAUUUGAAACCAAAUCUAUCUAUUUUUGAGGACUCAAAUUCAUAUCCUUAAGAGUUCUCUCAGACAGCUGCCUAAUUUUAGAAUUUCUAAUAAAAAAUAAUGUUAUUUUUUUCA